rnacentral:rRNA from 1 species
GACGAACGCUGGCGGCGUGCUUAACACAUGCAAGUCGAACGGAAAGGCCCUGCUUUUGUGGGGUGCUCGAGUGGCGAACGGGUGAGUAACACGUGAGUAACCUGCCCUUGACUUUGGGAUAACUUCAGGAAACUGGGGCUAAUACCGGAUAGGAGCUCCUGCUGCAUGGUGGGGGUUGGAAAGUUUCGGCGGUUGGGGAUGGACUCGCGGCUUAUCAGCUUGUUGGUGGGGUAGUGGCUUACCAAGGCUUUGACGGGUAGCCGGCCUGAGAGGGUGACCGGCCACAUUGGGACUGAGAGACGGCCCAGACGCCUACGGGAGGCAGCAGUGGGGAAUAUUGCACAAUGGGCGGAAGCCUGAUGCAGCAACGCCGCGUGCGGGAUGACGGCCUUCGGGUUGUAAACCGCUUUCGCCUGUGACGAAGCGGGAGUGACGGUAAUGGGUAAAGAAGCACCGGCUAACUACGUG